rnacentral:misc_RNA from 1 species
UUUCCGUAGGUGAACCUGCGGAAGGAUCAUUAUCAUGUAAUUCAGUCCCCUUGGCUGUGUUAUAUAUAUACCCACUCUGUGUGCCUUCUCCUGUUGCUUCCGCUGGGUGUGUAAUUCGCCCGGCGGAAGGGUAAAAAUAACCUCUGAGUAUUGAUGAAAUCUCUGUCUGAACCGAAUAGAAAGAAAAAUGUUAAAACUUUCAGCAACGGAUCUCUUGGUUCUC